CAGUUUGUUGCGACCUUCCGUCUGUCGGUUUGUUUUGCUCCGCCUCCCUAGCACGUUCGUCCACCGGUGUUACCGGUUUUGGCCGGUAGGUCGGACAAUAUCCUGGUGCGGCUUACCUUUGCUUUUCUCCCUAUCCCAACGAGAUGGAAUUUGUGCCCCCACCGGAGUGUCCGGUAUUCGAACCCAGCCGUGAGGAAUUUGCAGACCCUUUUGCCUUUAUCAAUAAAAUUCGUCCGAUUGCAGAGCUUACUGGGAUUUGCAAAGUUCGCCCUCCGCCUGUGAGCAAUCAAUAAAAGCAGCAAGUCUUAUCCCUGAUAGUCCUGACGAGGCCCCGACCGCAUAGCAUUGUGGGGCGAAACACACGUCGACCUAAUCACUCUGAAUGAGCAGCAAAGGUAUAGCACCCGUAAAGCUUGGCGGGUGCAUAUUCUAAUCAGCCGGAAAAGUUUUGGCGGAGGCGUAAGACAAGUAGCUUUACCGACAUAUGGAGCGUCAAGUCUGACCUGUGUUCUCUCGAGCAAAGAUACAGACCGCACCAGUUGGGAUUGACAGGACUUCAGAGGAGGAGUCCCGGUCCACUUACCCGAAUGCCUCCUGAAAGUGCCUAACAUACCCGGAUAAUGCUGCAACAAAAAAGGUCAUAUGCAUUUGUAACAAUUUAAAGAGCCGCUCAUGGAAAACGAGACGAAAUUUUCUGAGAUUUGUGAUAUCUGGCUAACUGAUGUUUGAGGACGCUUUUACCUCGGUACUGUCAGUUCUUACCAGUUGUGUUUAAUGCCAUAUCAGUGACUUAUAGACUCUAAGGAACCAUACAACAUCAAGUCUUUUUUCAUCAGGACUUUCUAACAAGAUGUUCCAUAAUAUCUGUGUUUUCAGUCACAUUCUGUUUGGCAUUAUCCUUAUACUGUUGAUCAUUUAAUAGUUUUAGAAACUUCAUAGCUCUUGUUACAUCUAUGUAUGUACUAAACACAUAUAGUAGCUAGUUUAUCCACUGCAGUGGUGCUCUUUAUAUGUUGUAGCUAUUGCAUGCAUGCUUUGCUCUGUUUAAUUUAAAGGAAUAAAAGUCAUAGCUUUUUGAGGAGA